rnacentral:tRNA from 1 species
GGUAGGAUAGCCUAAGUUAGGCGGCGGGUUGUAGCCCCGAAGAUAGAGGUUUGAGUCCUCUUUCUACCA